GGCUGAAACACAUUAGCGCUUUUGGCAAGUGCUCUAUCAGAGGACAAUGGGCUUAGGCGCGUGCACAAGUCGACCCCAUGUUUUUAUUUUCUAUCGUCUUUGAACCUAAACAGAGAUUCCCGGUCGGAAUAUUAUCGCUUUUUUACGAGAAAAAUGGCAUAAAAAUAGAUUGACAUGCUUCGAAGUACUGUAAUGGAAUAUUUAGAAUUUUUUGGUCACGAAACUCGUCGGGCGCGUGACCCUUAUUUACCCUUCAGAUAGUGUCUUGAAUGCACGAACAAAACGCCGCUGUUUGGAUAUAAAUAUGGAUUAUUUGGGACCAAACCAACAUUUGUUAUUGAAGUAGCAGUCCUGGGAGUGCAUUCUGACGAAGAACACCAAAGAUUGCAGCCGGUAGCAACAAGAAAAAGCACUGCGAUGUGUGUGGAUCCAAGAAGGACAGGAAGACACAGAACACAUACAUCAAGUGCAGGAAAUACAUUUGCAACACACACAGUAGAACUCUGUCCCUCAUGUGGACCUGAGCCCUAGGACCAUGUCUCAGGACUACCUGGUAUGAUGACUCCUUGCUGUCCCCAGUCCACCUGGCCGUGCUGCUGCUCCAGUUUCAACUGUUCUGCCUGCGGCUAUGGAACCCUGACCUGUUCACCGGACGUGCUUGUUGCACCCUCGACAACUACUAUGAUUAUUAUUAUUUGACCAUGCUGGUCAUUUAUGAACAUUUUAACAUCUUGACCAUGUUCUGUUAUAAUAUCCACCCUGCACAGCCAGAAGAGGACUGGCCACCCCUCAUAGCCUGGUUCCUCUCUAGGUUUCUUCCUAGGUUUUUGGCCUUUCUAGGGAGUUUUUCCUAGGGAGUUUUUCCUAGCCACCGUGCUUCUUUCACAUGCAUUGCUUGCUGUUUGGGGUUUUAGGCUGGGUUUCUGUACAGCACUUUGAGAUAUCAGCUGAUGUACGAAGGGCUAUAUAAAUACAUUUGAUUUGACAUACCCUCCUGUAUAUCCCCACAUUCCCUCCUGUAUAUUCCCACAUUUCACCCUGUA
rnacentral:lncRNA from 1 species